rnacentral:rRNA from 1 species
AUUGAACGCUGGCGGCAUGCCUUACACAUGCAAGUCGAACGGUAACAGGUUAAGCUGACGAGUGGCGAACGGGUGAGUAAUGUAUCGGAACGUGCCCAGUCGUGGGGGAUAACUGCUCGAAAGAGCAGCUAAUACCGCAUACGACCUGAGGGUGAAAGCGGGGGAUCGCAAGACCUCGCGCGAUUGGAGCGGCCGAUAACAGAUUAGGUAGUUGGUGAGGUAAAGGCUCACCAAGCCGACGAUCUGUAGCUGGUCUGAGAGGACGACCAGCCACACUGGGACUGAGACACGGCCCAGACUCCUACGGGAGGCAGCAGUGGGGAAUUUUGGACAAUGGGCGCAAGCCUGAUCCAGCCAUGCCGCGUGCGGGAAGAAGGCCUUCGGGUUGUAAACCGCUUUUGUCAGGGAAGAAAAGGUUCUGGCUAAUACCUGGGACUCAUGACGGUACCUGAAGAAUAAGCACCGGCUAACUACGUG